rnacentral:rRNA from 1 species
CCUUUGACGUUAGCGGCGGACGUGUGAGUAACACGUGGGUAACCUACCUAUAAGACUGGGAUAACUUCGGGAAACCGGAGCUAAUACCGGAUAAUAUUUCGAACCGCAUGGUUCGAUAGUGAAAGGUGGUUUUGCUAUCACUUAUAGAUGGACCCGCGCCGUAUUAGCUAGUUGGUAAGGUAACGGCUUACCAAGGCGACGAUACGUAGCCGACCUGAGAGGGUGAUCGGCCACACUGGAACUGAGACACGGUCCAGACUCCUACGGGAGGCAGCAGCC